UACAGAGGGGGCAAGCGUUGUUCGGAAUUACUGGGCGUAAAGGGCGCGUAGGCGGCGCGGUAAGUCACUUGUGAAAUCUCUGAGCUUAACUCAGAACGGCCAAGUGAUACUGCAGUGCUAGAGUGCAGAAGGGGCAAUCGGAAUUCUUGGUGUAGCGGUGAAAUGCGUAGAUAUCAGGAGGAAUACCGAUGGCGAAGGCAGGUCUCUGGGCUGACACUGACGCUCAUGCACGAAAGCGUGGGGAGCAAACAGG
rnacentral:rRNA from 1 species